rnacentral:rRNA from 1 species
UACGAAGGGGGCUAGCGUUGCUCGGAAUCACUGGGAGUAAAGGGUGCGUAGGCGGGUCUUUAAGUCAGGGGGGAAAUCCUGGAGCUCAACUCCAGAACUGCCUUUGAUACUGAGGAUCUUGAGUUCGGGAGAGGUGAGUGGAACUGCGAGUGUAGAGGUGAAAUUCGUAGAUAUUCGCAAGAACACCAGUGGCGAAGGCGGCUCACUGGCCCGAUACUGACGCUGAGGCACGAAAUCGUGGGGAGCAAACAGG